AGAGACAGCAGCAGCCACGGGAAUACGGAGGGUGCGAGCGUUACUCGGAAUCACUGGGCGUAAAGGACGCGUAGGCGGAUUAUCAAGUCUCUUGUGAAAUCUAGCGGCUUAACCGUUAAACUGCUUGGGAAACUGAUAAUCUUGAGUAAGGGAGAGGCAGAUGGAAUUCUUGGUGUAGGGGUAAAAUCCGUAGAGAUCAAGAAGAAUACCCAUUGCGAAAGCGAUCUGCUGGAACUUAACUGACGCUAAUGCGUGAACGCGUGGGGAGCAAACAGGAUUAGAUACCCCUGUAGUCCCUGUCUCUUAUAC
rnacentral:rRNA from 1 species